rnacentral:rRNA from 1 species
GUCCGGACGGGAUAAACGCUGAAAGCAUCUAAGCGUGAAGCCCACCCCAAGAUUAGGUCUCCCGGGAUGUAUGUCCCCUAAAGGUCCCUGGUAGACUACCAGGUCGAUAGGCUGGAGGUGUAAGCGUGGUAACACGCUCAGCCGAUCAGUACUAAUAGACCGUGAGGCUUGACCCA